rnacentral:rRNA from 1 species
AUAAGCGAUUAUACGGCGAAACUGCGAAUGGCUCAUUAUAUAAGUUAUCGUUUAUUUGAUAGUACCUUACUACUUGGAUAACCGUGGUAAUUCUAGAGCUAAUACAUGCUGAAAAUCCCGACUCCGGAAGGGAUGUAUUUAUUAGAUUCAAAACCAAUGCCCCCCGGGCUCACUGGUGAUUCAUGAUAACUGCUCGAAUCGCACGGCCUUGCGCCGGCGAUGGUUCAUUCAAAUUUCUUCCCUAUCAACUUUCGAUGUUUGGGUAGUGGCCAAACAUGGUUGCAACGGGUAACGGAGGGUUAGGGCUCGACCCCGGAGAAGGAGCCUGAGAAACGGCUACUACAUCCAAGGAAGGCAGCAGGCGCGCAAAUUACCCAAUCCCGACGCGGGGAGGUAGUGACAAUAAAUACUGAUACAGGGCUCUUUUGGGUCUUGUAAUUGGAAUGAGCACAAUUUAAAUCCCUUAACGAGGAACAAUUGGAGGGCAAGUCUGGUGCCAGCAGCCGCGGUAAUUCCAGCUCCAAUAGCGUAUAUUAAAGUUGUUGUGGUUAAAAAGCUCGUAGUUGAACCUUGGGCCUGGCUGGCCGGUCCGCCUCACCGCGUGCACUGGUCCGGCCGGGCCUUUCCCUCUGUGGAACCCCAUGCCCUUCGCUGGGUGUGGCGGGGAAACAGGACUUUUACUUUGAAAAAAUUAGAGUGCUCCAGGCAGGCCUAUGCUCGAAUACAUUAGCAUGGAAUAAUGAAAUAGGACGUGCGGUUCUAUUUUGUUGGUUUCUAGGACCGCCGUAAUGAUUAAUAGGGACAGUCGGGGGCAUCAGUAUUCAAUUGUCAGAGGUGAAAUUCUUGGAUUUAUUGAAGACUAACUACUGCGAAAGCAUUUGCCAAGGAUGUUUUCAUUAAUCAGGAACGAAAGUUAGGGGAUCGAAGACGAUCAGAUACCGUCGUAGUCUUAACCAUAAACUAUGCCGACUAGGGAUCGGACGAUGUUAUUCUUUUGACUCGUUCGGCACCUUACGAGAAAUCAAGGUGCUUGGGCUCCAGGGGGAG